rnacentral:miRNA from 1 species
CACGAUCGACUUCGAUGUUUAUGACGUCGAUAUUCGACGUCAUAAACACGAUCAACUUAGAUGUUUAUGACGUCGAUAUUCAACGUCAUAAACAUGAUCAACUUAGAAGUUUAUGACUAUUCAACGUCAUAAACAUGAUCAACUUAGAUGUUUAUGACGUUGAUAUUCAACGUCAUAAACAUUCAACUUAGAUGUUUAUGACGUUGAAUAUGUUCGGCAUAAGCAUUCCCAACUGAGGUG